GUUCGCCAUUUAAAGUGGUACGCGAGCUGGGUUUAGAACGUCGUGAGACAGUUCGGUCCCUAUCUGCCGUGGGCGUAGGAGAAUUGGUUGGGGCUGCUCCUAGUACGAGAGGACCGGAGUGGACGCACCACUGGUGUUCCGGUUGUGUCGCCAGACGCAUUGCCGGGUAGCUAAGUGCGGAAGAGAUAAGUGCUGAAAGCAUCUAAGCACGAAACUUGCCAAGAGAUGAGUUCUCCCAAUCUAAGAGAUAGUAAGGGUUGUUGUAGACUACGACGUAGAUAGGUCUGGUGUGUAAGUGUAGUGAUACAUUGAGCUAACAGAUACUAAUUGCCCGAGAGGCUUAACUAUACAACGCUCAAG
rnacentral:rRNA from 1 species